AUUGAACGCUGGCGGCAUGCUUUACACAUGCAAGUCGAACGGUAACAGGCCGCAAGGUGCUGACGAGUGGCGAACGGGUGAGUAAUGCAUCGGAACGUGCCCAGUCGUGGGGGAUAACUACUCGAAAGAGUAGCUAAUACCGCAUACGAUCUAUGGAUGAAAGCGGGGGACCGUAAGGCCUCGCGCGAUUGGAGCGGCCGAUGUCAGAUUAGGUAGUUGGUGGGGUAAAGGCUCACCAAGCCAACGAUCUGUAGCUGGUCUGAGAGGACGACCAGCCACACUGGGACUGAGACACGGCCCAGACUCCUACGGGAGGCAGCAGUGGGGAAUUUUGGACAAUGGGCGCAAGCCUGAUCCAGCAAUGCCGCGUGCAGGAAGAAGGCCUUCGGGUUGUAAACUGCUUUUGUACGGAACGAAACGGCUCUGGUUAACACCCGGGGCUAAUGACGGUACCGUAAGAAUAAGCACCGGCUAACUACGUA
rnacentral:rRNA from 1 species